AUUGAACGCUGGCGGCAGGCCUAACACAUGCAAGUCGAGCGAGAGGCGGACGGGUGAGUAAUGUAUGGGGAUCUGCCCGAUAGAGGGGGAUAACUAAUGGAAACUGUGGCUAAUACCGCAUACUUUCGGAUGAGGCCAUAUGGGAUUAGCUAGUAGGUGGGGUAAAGGCUCACCAAGGCGACGAUCCGUAGCUGGUCUGAGAGGAUGAUCAGCCACACUGGGACUGAGACACGGCCCAGACUCCUACGGGAGGCAGCAGUGGGGAAUAUUGCACAAUGGGCGCAAGCCUGAUGCAGCCAUGCCGCGUGUAUGAAGAAGGCCUGAGGGUUGUAAAGUACUUUCAGCGGGGAGGCGUUACCAGCAGAAGAAGCACCGGCUAACUCCGUGCCAGCAGCCGCGGUAAUUC
rnacentral:rRNA from 1 species